GGCUCCGUAGCUCAGUGGAUAGAGCGUCGGUUUCCUAAACCGUGCGUCGCAGGUUCGAUUCCUGCCGGGGCCA
rnacentral:tRNA from 1 species